rnacentral:rRNA from 1 species
AACGUAGGUACCGAGCGUUAUCCGGAUUUACUGGGCGUAAAGCGCGUUCAGGCGGUUUGGCAAGUCGGGCAUGAAAUCUCUCGGCUCAACCGGGAGAGGUUGUCCGAUACUGCUGGACUGGAGGGCAGUAGAGGGUGGUGGAAUUCCACGUGUAGCGGUGAAAUGCGUAGAGAUGUGGAGGAACACCGAUGGCGAAGGCAGCCUUCUGGGCCAACACUGACGCUCAUGCACGAAAGCGUGGGGAGCAAACAGG